UCGUUCCUAAUUAUCAAAUCUCUUAUCAUCUCUCUGUCUGUGUACUCCUCGCUAGAGUCCAUCGUCUGUUGGGUCAAGGAAUUACUAUUUUGACUUUCGUCAUCCAUCCUAUGAUCACAAUAAACGAGACAACAUUAGUACCGAAAUAAAAUAUAUUCAUCGAUAAAAUGAAGGAAUAUUUUAUUUAGUACAACUAAAACUUGAUGGAUCUCUUCGACUCAUCAUAUCCUAUAACUUCUCACCAGAGUACUUCGUCUCUUGGUUCACUGAAUAUCUAUCUUAACUUUCGUCCUCCAUUCUACUAAGGUUAUAACCUAGGUUUCGUAUUCCUAACGUUUAUAACCUACAGCUUUGAUACAAACCUGUG
rnacentral:lncRNA from 1 species